UCCUUUUUAGCAGUUAAAGGUCUCUUGGCUGCAUCUUCUUCUUUUUUAACAGCUAUGCAGAACAAUUUUCUGCAGCUUGCAGCCUUCUAAGAUUUUACUUUUGAUGAACUGAUCUUAUGACGUCAUAAUCAUUAACGAGAAAUUAAAAGCAUCAACCGAAAUUAAUAGUGUACAGACGCUUCGCAAAAUAACUGGAGACAUGGUUCAGCCAAACUGCAGUUAUUACUUACCGUCUUUGGUGUGUCUGACUUAUCAUAUGUGUUAAAUUUUAUUGCAUGAACGGAUAUUGUGCAUGUCAAGUGCCUCCUUAGUCAACUCACUAUUUUACAUGCACAUGGCUGAAUAUGGUCAUUUCUGAAGGAGCAUAACAAGUAACUUCAUUUAAUUUCCACUGGCAGUGAAGUUAGAAUUGAGGGAUUGGAGACGCUUGACUACCUUGACAACCUAUACGAGAAAAAGCGCUUCACAGAACAAGGAGAUGCUUUAACAUUUGAAUCUGAGGUGGAUCGGGUGUAUCUUGGCUCCACAGAUACGAUUGCAAUUUUUGAUCAUGAAAGGAAGCGGACUUUUAUAAUUCAAAGGGAAGGACUUCCAGAUGUAGUGGUUUGGAAUCCAUGGGAGAAGAAAUCCAAGUCCAUACCUGAUUUUGGGGACGAAGAAUACCGACAGAUGCUCUGCGUCGACGGGGCGGUGAUCGAGAAGCCGAUCACCCUCAAACCGGGCGAGGAAUGGACAGGACGGUUGGAACUCUCUUACGUCCCUUCAAGCUGAAACCUGAUGUAAGUUCAACAUCAGGUCGGGGUGUGUUCGUUGUAAUAAUGGAGGGUGAGGCGCUACAAUCUUCCGACUCAUCCGCUGUUUUUGCGGGUGGAAGCAUAUGCUUUGCUAAGAAGAUCAAGAUGUAUUAUUAUCAUUAGGACAAUAAGCAGCUUCCAAGAAGAUGGUGGCCGUUGUUUUCCUGUUUGCAGAGAGUCCUUUUUCUUCUCUCGGCAGUAAUGUGAUGUAUCAAUAUCAGCAAACUUUGUAUGAGCACUGAUUAGUCAGUUAGCACUUUUGUACUAUA